AACGAACGCUGGCGGCAUGCCUAACACAUGCAAGUCGAACGAGACCUUCGGGUCUAGUGGCGCACGGGUGCGUAACGCGUGGGAACCUGCCCUUAGGGUCGGAAUAACUCCCCGAAAGGGGUGCUAAUACCGGAUAAUGGCUUCGGACCAAAGAUUUAUCGCCUUUGGAUGGGCCCGCGUUGGAUUAGCUAGUUGGUAGGGUAAAAGCCUACCAAGGCGACGAUCCAUAGCUGGUCUGAGAGGAUGAUCAGCCACACUGGGACUGAGAAACGGCCCAGACUCUUACGGGAGGCAGCAGUGGGGAAUAUUGGACAAUGGGCGAAAGCAUGAUCCAGCAAUGCCGCGUGAGUGCUGAAGGCAUUAGGGUUGUAAAGCUCUUUUACCCGGGAUGAUCAUGACAGUACCGGGAGAAUAAGCUCCGGCUAACUACGUG
rnacentral:rRNA from 1 species